ensembl:lncRNA
AUCGCAGGGUGACUGUUUCACGGGAGGGUGAGGGUGAGUGUGGGGACUCAGCUCAUUGCUGCUCCAGGAUCUGGAGGCGAUUAGAUGACUCACAAGGAGCUGCAAAAGCAGUACCUAUCACUCAGCUUCCUCUGGUAGUGACAUCUGUACAUCAUGAAAACCAGAUUUAUAUAACCACCAUGGCCACAAUCUAGAUAUAUAAGUGUUCCAUCACCAUAAAGGUGGCUUCUUCUACAAACCAAGAAAUGCCAAAGACCGCCAGCAAACCACCAGAAACCAGGAGACAGGCAUGGAACAGAGCAUCCCUCCCAGCCCUGGAAGAGAGUCAUUCCUGCAGACACCUUAUCUUGGACUUCUUGCCUCUAGAAUUCAGACAAAACAUUUCUCAGUUCCAGGCACAAUGAGCUAGUUCUGGGAGCAUGGAAAGAACUGGAAGUUGGAACCAGCUACCACUUUUGAACCAGAGCACCAUUUCUGGGGGGUGGGCAGCAUGCUGGAAGGAACUCCAGUAACAAGGAUUUAUCAUUUCUGUCACUGAAGUCACCCAGUUUGUAUGCUUUGCAGCCCUCAUAAAUGGAUACAGUAGGCUUUAUAGAAC